rnacentral:rRNA from 1 species
UUUAUCAGAGAGUUUGAUCCUGGCUCAGGAUGAACGCUGGCGGCGUGCUUAACACAUGCAAGUCGAACGGGAAUUACUUUAUUGAAACUUCGGUCGAUUUAAUUUAAUUCUAGUGGCGGACGGGUGAGUAACGCGUGGGUAACCUGCCUUGUACAGGGGGAUAACAGUCAGAAAUGACUGCUAAUACCGCAUAAGCGCACAGGACCGCAUGGUCCGGUGUGAAAAACUCCGGUGGUAUAAGAUGGACCCGCGUUGGAUUAGCUAGUUGGUGAGGUAACGGCCCACCAAGGCGACGAUCCAUAGCCGGCCUGAGAGGGUGAACGGCCACAUUGG